rnacentral:tRNA from 1 species
GGAGAGAUGCCAGAGCGGUUGAAUGGGGCGGUCUCGAAAACCGUUGUGGUCUUUUAGGCCACCGAGGGUUCGAAUCCCUCUCUCUCCGCUA